rnacentral:rRNA from 1 species
AUUGAACGCUGGCGGCAUGCCUUACACAUGCAAGUCGAACGGGCAGCACGGGAGCAAUCCUGGUGGCGAGUGGCGAACGGGUGAGUAAUAUAUCGGAACGUGCCCAGUCGUGGGGGAUAACGUAGCGAAAGCUACGCUAAUACCGCAUACGAUCUAUGGACGAAAGCGGGGGAUCGCAAGACCUCGCGCGAUUGGAGCGGCCGAUAUCAGAUUAGGUAGUUGGUGAGGUAAAGGCUCACCAAGCCGACGAUCUGUAGCUGGUCUGAGAGGACGACCAGCCACACUGGGACUGAGACACGGCCCAGACUCCUACGGGAGGCAGCAGUGGGGAAUUUUGGACAAUGGGCGCAAGCCUGAUCCAGCAAUGCCGCGUGCAGGAUGAAGGCCUUCGGGUUGUAAACUGCUUUGUACGGAACGAAACGGUGAGCUCUAAUACAGUUUGCUAAUGACGGUACCGUAAGAAUAAGCACCGGCUAACUACGUG